GUAUUUGUGUUGAGAAAUUUACUUAGUAUCUAUAAAUAAUUUAUCCCGAACCUAGUAAACUGCUUUUUCUAGAUUCCAGAACCCAUAGGCACAAACCCUGUAUUUGUGUUAAGAAAUUCUAUCCCGAACCCAGUUAGUUGCUUUUUCUAGAAUCCAGAAUCCAUAGACACAAUAUUCUUGAUCCACCUUUAUUAUUCACCCCACACAAAAUUCUUGACAGCAAACAAGCCGGUUUUAGCUCUUAAACAUGUAUGUGUGGUUUGAUUGUUUGCUUGCUCCAAUUUCUGGGGAACCCAAAAUGUGCUCUAAAUUUCUGUUAGAUCUUCUGACAAUCAUGUAUUAUGUUCCGUAUUUUUGCAGGCAGAGUGUGAAGAGCUACAACGUAGAGUAGAAGCUUUGAGCAAUGAGAAUCAUUCACUCAAAGAUGAGCUCCAACGGCUCUCUGAGGAAUGUGAGAAGCUUACCUCAGAGAAUAAUUCGAUAAAGGAAGAGUUAACGCGAUGGUGCGGACCAGAUGCUGUGUCUAAGCUAAAGAGCAAUGGUAAUGCUGCACGCGUUCAAUCUAAUGUUGAGGAAGCUAGUUAAGGAAAAACUGGAAAAGCCAGGACUGAGUAGGUGAUUUUAGUUACAAGUGCUCACAAAUAUUUCAGGAGCCUGAAGAAUUCAUUACUUCUAGGUGCAGCAGAAUGAGAAAUGUUUGUUGUCCUACUAACCUAUACCCUUUAACCCCUUUCUGAGUGUGACUGUAACAUCUGACAUCUGAGUCUGUAAACUUGUUUUAAAAUUAACUAAAAUAACUGGAAUAUUGUAAACUCAGAAGUCUUCAAGUGACCUUGGAAUUUUACUUUCAUGUUAUCCUAUUCCUGGCUA